UACAGAGGGUGCAAGCGUUAAUCGGAUUUACUGGGCGUAAAGCGCGCGUAGGCGGCUUUGUAAGUUAGAGGUGAAAGCCCGGAGCUCAACUCCGGAAUUGCCUUUAAGACUGCAUCGCUAGAAUCAUGGAGAGGUGAGUGGAAUUCCGAGUGUAGAGGUGAAAUUCGUAGAUAUUCGGAAGAACACCAGUGGCGAAGGCGACUCACUGGACAUGUAUUGACGCUGAGGUGCGAAAGCGUGGGGAGCAAACAGG
rnacentral:rRNA from 1 species